GAAGGCCUACGGGAGGCAGCAGUGGGGGAUAUUGCACAAUGGGGGAAACCCUGAUGCAGCGACACCGCGUGGGUGAAGAAGCGCUUCGGCGUGUAAAGCCCUAUCAGUGGGGAAGAAAAAGGACGGUACCCAAAGAAGAAGCACCGGCUAAAUACGUGCCAGCAGCCGCGGUAAUACGUAUGGUGCAAGCGUUAUCCGGAAUGACUGGGUGUAAAGGGAGCGUAGACGGCAGCGCAAGUCUGGAGUGAAAUGCCGGGGCUCAACCCCGGCACUGCUUUGGAAACUGUGCAGCUAGA
rnacentral:rRNA from 1 species